AUACCUUUCUCGGCCUUUUGGCUAAGAUCAAGUGUAGUAUCUGUUCUUAUCAGUAUAAUAUUUGAUAUGUGAGCCAUCGGCUCACUCGAUAUUAAUCUUAUUUUUUAUGGGAAGGAUCCGUAUCAAUAGGUUGCUAUUGGGAUCCUUAGAGUCGCCUUGGUGUUGCACUGCUGCCUUGGCCUGGCUCAUCCCUC